UGAACAUGGACUUCUUGUGCCCCAAAAGAAAAGACAGAAAGCUCCUAAAAUGAGCAAAUCAGCUGUGCAUCAUCUCUGUGAUUUGGGAAGGAAAUGACUGAAUAUGAUGAAGCCAGUUGAUGAAGAUAUC